CCUGACAAUCAAACUGCUGAAACCAAAAAGCUGAAGUGUAAGAGAAAAGGAAGAAAACCCAAUACAGCAGGAGAAGGUUCAUCGUCGUUCCGUCAGCUCGAUGCCCCAGGAAAUGCUUCGGCCAAAGCAGGGGGGUUGACAGAAGUACUGCCACCCCAACGGACAGGGGCUGUGAUGCAGAGGAGUUCAACUAUGCUGAUCAUGGAGGAGAAUAAAGCCGUAAAAAACCUUUGUUUUUAUCAGCCUGUGAAGCCAGAUGCUGUGUGUGGCAGACCAAAACUCUGCUCCAUCAUUAGGACUUCUCCAUGCCACAGGCUUCGCCCAAUUCCAGUUAACACCCAGCCGUUCCGCCUUCCCGAAGGUCUGCCUGAAGAUAGUAUUACGAAUAUCAAAAAUUGGACCUGCUGUAAACCAAGAUGAGACAUCUACAUUUCAGCAGGACUCCACAGAAGAAAUAACUGUCUUGCUACUGUGGAAGGAAGGUGAAAAAGAAUUAAUAACCAGCAAUUAAUGGUUGUAUUUUUUUUUGGCAUGUACAUUGUUUGAAAUUUCAUAUAAUGCUUUGCAGUAAUAUUCCAGUACUUAAUAUUAAAUUAUUUUGUACAAGCAACUGGAUCUUAUUCUGGGUAUUUUUCUGUAAGGACUUCAUAAAGAUGAUU
rnacentral:lncRNA from 1 species